AUACGUAGGGUGCGAGCGUUGUCCGGAAUUACUGGGCGUAAAGAGCUCGUAGGUGGUUUGUCGCGUCGUCUGUGAAAUUCCGGGGCUUAACUCCGGGCGUGCAGGCGAUACGGGCAUAACUUGAGUACUGUAGGGGAGACUGGAAUUCCUGGUGUAGCGGUGAAAUGCGCAGAUAUCAGGAGGAACACCGGUGGCGAAGGCGGGUCUCUGGGCAGUAACUGACGCUGAGGAGCGAAAGCAGGGGUAGCGAACAGGAUUAGAUUCCCUGGUAGUCCAUGCCGUAAACGGUGGGCGCUAGGUGUAGGGGUCUUCCACGACUUCUGUGCCGUAGCUAACGCAUUAAGCGCCCCGCCUGGGGAGUACGGCCGCAAGGCUAAAACUCAAAUGAAUUGACGGGG
rnacentral:rRNA from 1 species